rnacentral:rRNA from 1 species
UACGUAGGGGGCGAGCGUUGUCCGGAGUUACUGGGCGUAAAGCGCACGCAGGCGGUCUGCUAAGUUUGGAGUGACAGUUGGUGGCUCAACCACCAAAGUGCUUUGAAAACUGACAGACUUGAGGGCUUCAGAGGGACACGGAAUUCCGGGUGGAGUGGUGAAAUGCGUAGAGAUCCGGAGGAACACCGAAGGCGAAGGCAGUGUCCUGGGAGUACCUGACGCUCGAGGUGCGAAAGCUAGGGAGCGAACGGG